rnacentral:tRNA from 1 species
GAGGAUGUAGCUCAAUGUUAGAGUCCUUGCCUAGCAUACAGGAGGCCCUGGGUUCAAUCCCCAGCACCCCCG